CUUGGUCAGAACGAACGCUGGCGGCGUGCUUAACACAUGCAAGUCGAACGCGAAAGGGACUUCGGUCCUGAGUAAAGUGGCGCACGGGCGAGUAACGCGUAGAUAACCUGUCUUCAUGUCUGGAAUAAUACGCCGAAAGGGGUACUAAUACCGGAUAUUCUUGCUUUUCAUAAGUUAUGCAAGCAAAGGUGGCCUCUGCAUAUGCUACUGCAUGAAGGAGGGGUCUGCGUACCAUUAGCUAGUAGGGUGGGGUAAUGGCCUACCUAGGCGACGAUGGUUAGCGGGUCUGAGAGGAUGAUCCGCCACACUGGCACUGGAACACGGGCCAGACUCCUACGGGAGGCAGCAGUGAGGAAUAUUGCGCAAUGGGGGAAACCCUGACGCAGCGACGCCGCGUGAGUGAGGAAGGCCUUCGGGUCGUAAAGCUCUGUCAAGAGGAAAGAAGUGUACAAUGGCUAAUACCUGUUGUAUUUGACGGUACCUCUAAAGGAAGCACCGGCUAACUCCGUGCCAGCCGCCGC
rnacentral:rRNA from 1 species